UACGUAGGGUGCAAGCGUUGUCCGGAAUUAUUGGGCGUAAAGGGCUCGUAGGCGGUCCGUCACGUCGGGAGUGAAAACUUGGGGCUUAACCCCAAGCCUGCUUCCGAUACGGGCGGACUAGAGGUAGGCAGGGGAGAACGGAAUUCCUGGUGUAGCGGUGAAAUGCGCAGAUAUCAGGAGGAACACCGGUGGCGAAGGCGGUUCUCUGGGCCUUACCUGACGCUGAGGAGCGAAAAGCGUGGGGGAGCAAACAGG
rnacentral:rRNA from 1 species